rnacentral:rRNA from 1 species
GAAUAUUGGACAAUGGAGGAAACUCUGAUCCAGCCAUGCCGCGUGCAGGAUGAAGGCCCUCUGGGUUGUAAACUGCUUUUCUCAGGGAAGAAACCUUAGGAUUUAUCCUAAGCUGACGGUACCUGAGGAAUAAGCACCGGCUAACUCCGUGCCAGCAGCCGCGGUAAUCCGGAGGGUGCAAGCGUUAUCCGGAAUCACUGGGUUUAAAGGGUGCGUAGGCGGACUUUCAAGUCAGAGGUGAAAGCCCGGGGCUCAACUCCGGAAUUGCCUUUGAUACUGUUGGUCUUGAAUAUAGUUGAGGUGGGCGGAAUGAGUCGUGUAGCGGUGAAAUGCAUAGAUAUGACUCAGAACACCGAUUGCGAAGGCAGCUCACUAAACUAUCAUUGACGCUGAGGCACGAAAGCGUGGGGAGCAAACAGG